rnacentral:rRNA from 1 species
AGUGGACGCUGGCGGUAGGCCUAACACAUGCAAGUCGAACGGCAGCACAGUAAGAGCUUGCUCUUACGGGUGGCGAGUGGCGGACGGGUGAGGAAUACAUCGGAAUCUACUUUUUCGUGGGGGAUAACGUAGGGAAACUUACGCUAAUACCGCAUACGACCUACGGGUGAAAGCAGGGGAUCUUCGGACCUUGCGCGAUUGAAUGAGCCGAUGUCGGAUUAGCUAGUUGGCGGGGUAAAGGCCCACCAAGGCGACGAUCCGUAGCUGGUCUGAGAGGAUGAUCAGCCACACUGGAACUGAGACACGGUCCAGACUCCUACGGGAGGCAGCAGUGGGGAAUAUUGGACAAUGGGCGCAAGCAUGAUCCAGCCAUACCGCGUGGGUGAAGAAGGCCUUCGGGUUGUAAAGCCCUUUUGUUGGGAAAGAAAAGCAGCAGGUUAAUACCCCGCUGUUCUGACGGUACCCAAAGAAUAAGCACCGGCUAACUUCGUG